rnacentral:rRNA from 1 species
CCUACGGGAGGCAGCAGUGAGGAAUCUUUGUCAAUGGGCGGAAGCCUGAACCAGCCAAGUAGCGUGCAGGAUGACGGCCCUACGGGUUGUAAACUGCUUUUUUACGGGAAUAACGCGCCUUACGUGUAGGGCUUUGCAUGUACCGUAUGAAUAAGGACCGACUAAUUCCGUGCCAGCAUCCGCGGUAAUACGGGAGGUCUGGGUGUUAUCCGGAUUUAGGGGGUUUAAGGGGGUCGUAGGCCGCAUGUCAAGCGUGCUGUGAAAUGUCCGGGCUCAACCCGGGCCUUGCAGCGCGAACUGGCGAGCUUGAGUCCGCGGAAAGCAGGCGGAAUUCGUCGUGUAGCAGUGAAAUGCUUAGAUAUGACGAAGAACCCCGAUUGCGAAGGCAGCUUGCUGCAGCGGAACUGACGCUGAUGCUCGAAAGCGCGGGUAUCGAACAGGAUUAGAUACCCGGGUAGUC